AUGCCAAAUUAUCUCGACUCAAGUUCACUUGUGAAUUUCAUCAAAACUCCUUUCUAGUAUUCACACUUGGUUUAGCCAAAGUCUUUCUGAACUCACUCUCACAAAUCGCAUAGGACUUCUCCUUUUCUACCAAAGUCAAUAGAUUUCAUCUAGAUGCAUCCUACUCCUAAUAGCAAAUCUAAACCUACUAUAGCCAAUAUACACAGAAAGGACUCAAAUAACUAGGGAUCAAGAAAAUCUACAGUCAAACUUAGUUGUCUCGCUGUGAAUAGUCGAUGACACCGC
rnacentral:lncRNA from 1 species